AACGAACGCUGGCGGCAGGCCUAACACAUGCAAGUCGAACGCUCGUAGCAAUACGAGAGUGGCAGACGGGUGAGUAACACGUGGGAACCUUCCCUUCGGUCGGGAAUAGCUCAGGGAAACUUGAGGUAAUACCGGAUACGCCCUUACGGGAAAGAUUUAUCGCCGAAGGAGUGGGCCCGCGUCGGAUUAGCUAGUUGGUGAGGUAACGGCUCACCAAGGCGACGAUCCGUAGCUGGUCUGAGAGGAUGAUCAGCCACACUGGGACUGAGACACGGCCCAGACUCCUACGGGAGGCAGCAGUGGGGAAGUAUUGGACAAUGGGCGGCAAGCCUGAUCCAGCCAUGCCGCGUGAGUGACGAAGGCCUUAGGGUUGUAAAG
rnacentral:rRNA from 1 species